GGAGUUUGCUCUCUUGUGUCAUUCUCUGGCCUUAAUAGCUGUAUUCUAACUUUGGGUUAAGGCAGUAUUAAUGGAUGACAUUAUUAUGACCACGUAAUAUAAUUCAUUGAAUACCCUCAAGUAAACUUCUAAGAAAACUACAGAUUUGGAGCUUCAAAUGCCUUGGUGAAGUUUCUAAGAACUUGGAUGUCUAAAAAGAACAGGGCAGGAAAUUAUCCAACUUGCAAGAGAAUGCUAGCUGAAAAUCGUCCCAUCUUAUGGAAAACCGGUAGAAAAUCCAGGAGGUGAAAUGGAGAACAUGUUCAACUGGAGAAUUCUAUUUCUUAUGCAUGUCAAAUAUGUUUCCUUCUCCUGCACUAGCUGUUCCUUCUGCUGGAAGAAUAUUUAUAUGACUGGCUAAACUUACUGUUCAGAUCUGAGAGUAAAUUUGCAUUUCUCAGAGAGUUAGUUCCUGACCACCCAACUCAAAGUACUAACACUCUAUCUAGUCCUUUUCUUGUUUGUUUUUCAUGUUUAUUUUAUUUCCCACCACUAGAAUCUAAGCUUUUUGAGAGCCGGCACUUUGUCCAUCUGGGUCACUGAAUCCCAAUGAGUUAUUCACAGAUGUUUUUAGUACAUAGUAGGUGAAAUGCAUAGAUAAUAUUUCAACUAAGAAAGUGAACAGAAGAAAGUUGGUCAUUGACUUAUUACUAGUAGCUCACUACUCUCUAUGUAUGAAGACAUCACUUACUGAUGGUUAUGAAGCAGAUGCUCAAUAAUUUUUUUUUAAUAAACAGGAGGGCAAGGAGCCAAUGUCGUUUGUAGUGGAGGGUAGUCAUGGACACUGAGAGUAUGUUUUAGACACAAUUUAUCAAUGGCCAGCCUCAGGCUGAGAUAAAAUAUAACAGAGUUUGCCAAGGUCUUUCAUGCCCAGGCAGUCAGUGCUCACAUGUUCCCUGUAACUGCCUGGGUACCUUUCCCUGAGUCAUCAGUCCUGUGUCUUAAUUCUUUUAGUAGCACCUGCAUUCUGCUCCUUUAACCUUCCAUCAAUCAGCUCUUAUAUACUGUACAUCUCUUUCUCAAGAAGCCUUGUGCAACGCAUGGUGAUUUCAACAGUGAUGAAUAUUUCCUUCCCUCUGACUUCUUAUGAAACCAGGAUAAUGAAGCAAAUUAGAAUGUAUUUUAACAUCACUCUCCCUUGUUUGCUGUCCAGCUAAUGAACAGUGGACUGGCUGAAGAAAGACCAGCAUGAAGCAGAAAAAUUGUUUGGUGAAAAAUUCAAGAAUGGGCCAAUAUCCAUUAAAAGAUUGAAAGAGGAGAUGUUUUGGGUCCACCUCCACUGGGGACAGAAAUUCCAUUCUGCCAACACCCCCUCCAUAUCCAUUGUCUGAAAGAGGCACUGCUGUUGAGUCAUAAGUAGGCUCCAGUGGCCCAUGUUGACCCUUUGAAAUUCCCAUGGGACUGUCAAUUCUAUCUAUUCUGGGAGCAGCCAACCAUAGCUAAUUACAGGCCUGUGGUAUUAGUGGAACAAGCUUCAGCUUUUUACAUUGGCUUGAUGGAGAACUGAGUAGAUAUAAAAGUGUUACAUGUUUUUCUGUAAUCAUAAUAACGUAAUCUUGUUUCAUAAUCAUUAAUAAUUCCUAACAUUUAUUGAAGAGUUAAUAUGUGUUGAGUAUUUUUGUAAGUGCUUAACAUGCAGUUUUUAAAAUUUUAACUCCUUUUUACAGAAAAGGUUUACAGAACGCCAGAGGGGUAGGUGAUUUUGCCAGAGCUCUUUUAGGUAAUAGGAAACAAAGCCAUAAAUUUGAUCCCAGCUAGUUUGACCCCAUAGUCCAAGCAUUAAUCCCUGAACCACACUAGCUCUGGCAAGGGUAUAAAUGAGCAGUGAUUACUAACUGACUUAAAACACAAUAGGAAUUAUCCCCAGUGAAUUCCAACAUAUAAAGGGACACUAAUUCUUGCCAUAGAAAAUCUAUUUGAUAAGUAUGAACAAGAAUUCCAAGGUUAUCAAAAAUAAUUUCUAAUAGUUUAAUUCUUUAAAAGAAAUGGUGUAUCUCAUGGACACAGGAAGGGGAACAUCACACUCCGGGGACUGUUGUUGGGUGGGGGGAGCGGGGAGGGAGAGCAUUAGGAGAUAUACCUAAUGCUAAAUGACAAGUUAAU
rnacentral:lncRNA from 1 species